rnacentral:lncRNA from 1 species
AGGAUAGAGUCUCAUGAGAUGUGGACUCUGAUCCCUUGAUCAACUUGGAUUGUGGGGUGCCAAUCUCACUAUGCUUAUCCAGUAUUGGUGCCUAUAGUAGGAGGGAUUAUGGAGAUUCUUAUCUGAUGUGAUCAGAUGACAUCACUCCACCAAUCAAUUUUUUUAAAAUUAAUUGAAAUUUUUUAAUUGAUCGAAUGAUAUGGCACUGCAUGGCGCAGUAGGGUCUAUUUAAACCCUGUCUGCGCCUAGGGUUUAGUGACUCUGCUCAAUAACUAGCAAAAACUUGAAUCCUCUCUACUUCUCCACACCCUCUCUGCUCCUCUCCCUCUUCUCUUCAUGUCCAAGAGGUUGGGCGUCCAUCUGGUGCUUGUCCAAGGUGUGGUGGCUCUUUGAUUAGAAAGCUGUAGAGAUUUAUCGAGAAGCUGCUGCUCUAGCUUCAGAAGAUCUUUUGAAGAUUUUUCAGAUCAGAUCCAAAUCUAAUUUUUGAAACAAAGAUUUGCAAGGAGAAGAUGAUCCAGAUCCUACUCAAGUAGA